rnacentral:rRNA from 1 species
CCUGACGGUAGUCGUAUGCUCGUCUCCGAGACUAAGCCAUGCAAGUCCAAGUACACGUCCUUGAACGACGGAAACUGCGAACGGCUCAUUAAAUCAGUUGCGAUCUACUCGGCGUUCCGCGCCGCCGGAUAACCGUAGUAAUUCUAGGGCUAAUACGUGCGAAGCGCCCGAAGCCGCGAGGCGACGGGCGUUCUCGCCGGAUGUAGGAACCGACCCGGGGACCGCCGGGGCAACCCGGCGCCCCCCGAGACGGGGCGAACCACGGUGAAAUGACGGAUCGUCGGCCCCGCGCCGGCGACUCGCCGAAUGAGUUUCUGACCUAUCAACUCGAGACGGCGGGGUAGAGGCCCGCCGCGGUAACGACGGGUAACGGGGAAUCAGGGUUCGAUUCCGGAGAGGGAGCCCCGAGAAACGGCUACCACUUCCAAGGAGGGCAGCAGGC